AGGUAGCUGCUCACAAACCUGAAACCACUUUAUUAAAAAAAAAAUAGCAUCAGAAAAAAAUAUUAGCAACUAAUAAAGCUAAAUUCAGACAAUCACUCUUCAAGCAAUGGUUCUGUAUUCCUCAGACUUCUAUAGUCAGCCAUAAAGUCAUCAAGCAUUAGUUACAUAUAAAGAGACACUAUUUCAGUGUGAAUAUGUGAUCACAGAAAAAUCACACUUUUUUCUGCUUUCUGCAGAACUUGCACUGAAAUUUUGCUUGGGUGAGCACUGUAUUAGUUUAUUUGAAGCUUGAGAUCAGCAACUUUAUCUAGGAUAAAUGUCUUAAGUAUUCUUGAUGUUAUUUCUUCGAUCCCCCUUUGUUUCUGCCAUUGUUGCUUAAAAGUAUCUCAGACAGGUACCUAGAACAUUUUAAAUGAAGAUAUUGUAGCUCUUCUUUUUUUCAGUUUGUCUUGACAGAUAAAGUGCCCAAAGAAACAGAAAAGCUGACAAAGCUUCCUAACUUGGCUUUCAGAGACCUUGCUCAGUGUUUUUGGUAUUAAGAAAUAUCUAUGGUAAAUGCCCAGCCCUCACCUCAACCAAAUAAGUAACCAGGAGAGGACCAGGCAGAUCUGGAUUCUGAAGAGUGGUGUGACACUAUUUUAAAGCUUCCAAAGCCAUUGCUCCAGUUCUAUGAGCCUGAAUGGGAAGAUUCAGUCCUGAAUAGGAAGAUUCAACCGCACAGCUGUGAAUGGAAGAGGUAGAACUGGCCCAGGCUGUGAAAAACCCUGAAAACCCCUGACUUUGUAAAUCAAUAUCAAUCAAUGCCCUGCAAAGUACAUCAUAAAUCUGGAUGUUCAAGAGAGCUAACCCUGAGGUAAUACACCUUAAGUUUUAAAAUAUUUCACAAACAUUAGGAUAAUCUCAGGAGGCCCUUGAUCCAAUUUUGUCCUUUGGGGCCUUCCAACAAUUAAGAGUUAUUGGAAUAUAUUGGUUUUCUAGACACAUCUCCUCUUCAAAACAGAUUAAAAAAAAAAAAAAAGACUAGUGUGAGUGUGUGACAUGUUUUGAGUUAAUAAUCCUCUGCUGGGAGAUAAAACUUAACCUGAAGGAAUAGGUUUCGAUCUAGCAGCAGAACAUUUUAUUUAGGCUUUGGACAAUGGGAUUUCUCUUAACUAGCCAAGAUUUCUCCUUCAGCAAAUACAGAACAUUCAGAUAUAGGCAUUCAUCUUUUAUAAGUUAUUAAUAAUAAAUGUUGAAUUCUGGCAAACCGUCCAGUGCAAAGCACUCCAGACAUGCUCAUUUAUUUAGCAUUUCACAGAAUUGUACUUGUUGAACUGCACCAGUAUGCAACUACCAUCAUUUGUCUGUACCUGGAGGAAAACCAACCCAGAUCUAUCAGGCAGGCAUUCCAGUUUAUGGGUACUGUGCCCAGUUGCCUUAUUGCCUGCAUUCUCGACAGAAAUAAGGCUUAAUAGCACUCUAAGAAGUCACCAGAAAAAUGCCAUUUGUAUGCAACACCCAUUCUGCUGGAUAUUCAUGUGUGGCAACAUUCAGAACCUAUAGGUGUAGAUGUUUUCCUUCAUUUCAAGGUUAUAAGUUAAAGUUCAUGUCACUGUAGGACUGAUCCAUUGCAUGGUGAACCUAGGAAAUUAGCUUUUUGGCAGUGAGGGUGCAACAGACAUUGCUUUUCUAAAAAUAAGGACAAAAAGACUGGGAGAAGCUUUAUGGUGCCAGGAGAAGUUUCUAGAAAGCUUGGAAAAUUUGGGAUGACCUUUUCUCUCUCCUUUCUGGGAAAGGCGAAGGCCAUACUAGCGGAAAACAGCUGGUGGUCACUUGCUGUUCUUACUGCCCUGACACAAACCUGGCUCAGCAGCAGGGAAUUGCAAGGCCACAGGAGCUGUGGGAGAGUACUGGACUGGCUCUUCAAGCCCCCUGUACUGCUCAAACAUCUGCACUCCAUCUUCCUUGCCAGAGGCAAAAUGGGGAGAAAACCUCCUCUGUCAUCCUUGGCUCCUGCCCACAUGCAUAACACAGAGAGACAGUUGGAAAACUGGGAACCUGCUCCAAAAGACUUUUAGAAAUGUGGUGAGCAACUAGAAAUUACACUGUCUUUAGUGCACUGAUGCCCUUCCUUGGGAACCUACCAGCAGGCCAGCCAUAGGAUAGGAAAGGGUGUGAGAUUAACAAGUGUUUCUUUAUGAAGAUCUGCUUGAAUUAAACUCAGCCUGGCCCCCAGAGAUUAAUAACAGCUCUUCAAAAUCCUCCUGAAAGGAACGUCUGAGUCACAUUCAAAACACAGUAUCAGAUGUUAUGCCUUAAAAGCAACAAUAAACCAGUGUUUAAUAGUGGUUUUGAUACUGUUCACAAAAAAUGGCUUGUGAAUGUGUUUUUUACAAAACAUUCUGGGGUGGGAAUUGUGACAGAAGAGAACACUUCUCCUGUGAAAGAAGAGGGUUUCUAUUUAAUGUGGUUUUGAAUCCAUGUGACUUUGUGCUGUGUGUACUGCACAGGAGGGUAAUUGCCACUUUCUUCCCCAUUCAUGAGAGCUGGGGGAAGAUUUGUUUUAUGCCUGGAGGUCCAGACCUCCAGUUUCCCAAGGAGAAAGCAUGUCUCUAACUGCUGUACAUCCUUCCAUGAAGUGGAUUUCUUUGUUGCAGACACUCUGCUGGCUUCUGCACUUCCUAAGGUGAGGUAUUUGUCUUCAGGAAUGGGAUACUUUGCAUGUCACUGUACAGCAGCAUGUCACAUUGAAGUCAUUCCAACACUACAGCAUUUGCCUUUGCGUUAUGGUUUUAUUCAUGGUGAUGGAAAUACACAUUCCCACAAUAGCAUAUGGAUUGAAAUUUUUUGAGUGAAGAAUUCUAACCAUUAAAAAGUUUUGUCAUUGAUACUUAUUUCUCAGUAUUUGUCUAUGGAAGAACCAUGUGGCAGACACUUCAGAUCACCUCAGUUCCCAAAAAAUGUGUGUAAGCUGUGAAAAGAAAAAAAUACCCAGAAAACCCAAAACAAACAAACAAACAAACAAAAACCUGAAAAGCACCCAAGAAUACUGUCUUAUAACCUCUUCUGAUGGCCUUUACAGACUGACUUUUUACUGCUCUGUUACUAUGAGUCUGGAUGCACACUGGUUUGGUUCCUGCUGGAUUGAGGCAGGGAGCAGAAAGCUGGGAAAUUCAAAUUGGACCGUUGUCUCUCACCUUCGGACCUACAACUGAGUACACCUCUCCCAUACCUAAGGAUCAGAAGACACUACGUUGUAGGUUAUAAAAGCAACAUUAUGGUGAACAUUGGUACAUAGCUGUAGAAAGCACCCAUUGACCAUGUUUGUUGGGGAGUUGCUGAUAUGGAGCAUGUCUCAGCUUUGUGGCAUCUGGUUUAACCAGUGACAGCAGCAUCAAUCGUCCUGUAAAUUUGCAGGAGCCAUCCUGAGGCUGCUCCCAUCCCUAAAUGCAGCACACACAGCCUAUGGUCCAUUGGAGACCGUUUGCAGCACACUAUUUUAGAAUUUAUUUUUAUGGCACAGAUUGUGUCAAAGGAAAAUCCUACAACUUAAUGUUUACCAGUGUUUUACUCACAGCGUCGAUUUUUCAGUGUCUUUAGUAGUUGGCACUAAUACCACUUACAAUAGCAAUUGACCAUUUAAAUAAUAAUCCCGUUAUCAAAUGAAAAACAUAAAAUCACAUGUAAGUGAUUAAAACGGGAAUCUCGGGAACACAUGCUCAGCUCAGUGAAGAUAAUCCUAUUUACGUUAAUCUUGAUUAAAAAGGAUUCUUUCGUUACUUGGGUGUGAAUCUGCUCAUCGUGCACAAAUGACUGAUUGAACAGGGCCCUUUUGCACACAGCAGGCGUCCUCCAUCCCAAGGGACGCACCCCCUUUCCCUGCCGUGACCCGAGUCCCGGGGAAGGGGCGCGACAUCGGCAUCGACACCGCCCUUG